rnacentral:rRNA from 1 species
AACAAACGCUGGCGGCGUGCAUAACACAUGCAAGUCUAACGGGAAAGUCGGCUUCGGCUGGCAAGUACCGUGGCGAACGGGUGAGUAACACGUGGGUAAUCUAACCUCGAGUUUGGGAUAACCUUGCGAAAGCGGGGCUAAUACCGAAUAAGACCACGCUCUGUCCGCAGAGUGCGGUAAAAGGCGGCCUCUUCUUGAAAGCUGUCACUUGAGGAUGAGCCCGCGGCCUAUUAGCUAGUUGGUGGGGUAAUGGCCUACCAAGGCGACGAUGGGUAGCCGGCCUGAGAGGGUGUACGGCCACACUGGCACUGAGAUACUGGCCAGACUCCUACGGGAGGCAGCAGUGGGGAAUUUUGCGCAAUGGGGGAAACCCUGACGCAGCAACGCCGCGUGAGUGAUGAAGGCCUUCGGGUCGUAAAGCUCUUUUAGUGGGGAAGAAUCCCUUUCGGGCUAAUAUCCCGGGAGGAUGACGGUACCCACAGAAAAAGUUCCGGCUAACUACGUGCCAGCCGCCGCCGUAAAAC